rnacentral:rRNA from 1 species
AACGUAGGAGACAAACGUUAUCCGGAGUUACUGGGCGUAAAGGGCGUGUAGGUGGUUUCGUAAGUCUGGCGUGAAAUUUUUCGGCUUAACCGGGAAAGGUCGUCGGAUACUGCGGAGCUAGAGGACGGUAGAGGCGUGUGGAAUUCCGGGUGUAGUGGUGAAAUGCGUAGAGAUCCGGAGGAACACCGACGGCGAAGGCAGCGCCCUGGCCGCCAUCUGACGCUCAGGCACGAAAGCUGGGGGAGCGAACAGG